AUCAAAGCCGAAUUACGUUUGAACCAGUUUUCGCCAAAACAGUUAGAGCUAUAAAUCGGUUCUGAUUGUUUAUGCCAAGUGAAUGUUGUCUGUCGACUUCAUCUUAGUUCGAGUCUUGCUUUGCUCAUGGCACGAAGAUCGAGGAAUUAUGUCAAAGAGUUAAUUCCGCAUGAAGACCUAAUUCCGCAUGAAGAUGACAAAUGUAAUUCCGCACGGAAUUACUUAAUUCCGUGUGAGUAAUGAUUUCGCAUGUAAGUAAUUCCGUAUGAAGCAUGUUUCAUGCGGAAUUACCAUGUCUAU
rnacentral:lncRNA from 1 species